AUAUUGGGGUUAAUUGAAUAAAUUGAAAGAUAAUGAGAAGGGAACUCUCGGACUUGGAGGCAAUCCCGAUUCAACUAGGCUUGCACGAGGUGGCGGGUGAUCAGACACAAGGUGAAUUCGAACUACGAGUUCAACGGAAAGCGGUUGAGAUUCCUCUUCAGAUCCAGUUGCGAAGAACAAAUUCAUCGAAUGCUGCGCUUUAGGUUUGCUUGAUGAAUCGAACCAUGGGGGAGGAAGGUUGUUCGGUCUCCAAAGAAGUGGAAGUGGCAGUCUGCAUGGCUAUGGCUCUGUUCUACGUCGCCGUUGUCCAUUCUCCUGCUUUGAUACUUCCGUCUAUCACCUCCUCCUUCUCUUCAAGUUUACAUGAUUCGACGGUUUCUGUUCGCCAUCAUUUUCACCGCCGUCUCAGUCGUCGUCUGCGCUCUAAUCCUUCCUGUUUCCAUCACAAUGCUGACUUUCCCCUUCUCAUUUUGUUUCAUGCUAGAUAAGGAAAAUGGAGUUUUCACUGUUAUUAGCAGCUUGCGGUAUCUGAGCAGAUCAUAUUUCUGCAUAUUGGAAAGGUGAAAUGAAUCCUAAACUUGCAUCCUGAAUUGCAAUUUUAUCUAUGGAGCAGUGGCAAGCCGUGUUCUUUCCUCUUUCAUUGACUUCUUUAAUGUAGGUUGGAUUAAUGGUUUUAAAGUCUUUGUUAUUGGUGGAUUCAUGGAGAGAGCAUAUGAAUCACGGAGAAGGCUCCCUUUCGGACUGUGCUGAAUUUUUUUGGACGAGUUCUUGAUCGGGGACUAUUAACAGUCUCAAAUCUUUUAGCUUGGAGAAAUUAUGUUGUGGCUCCACUAACUGAGGAGUUGGUGUUUUGAGCAUGCAUGAUACCAGUUCUUCUAUCUGGGGGGAUUUAAGCCAACCACUAUGAUUUCUCUGCUCCAUUCUUUUCAGUCUGGGCAAUCUUCUUGCCCCGUUAGUUGCUCGUGUUUUUUGCAACCUUAUGGGAUUACCUGCUUUUUUUUCUCAAAGAAGAGGAGCAUGAAGAUGAAGCUUUUCCCGAUCUCAAGAAACUCGAUCAGAGGUAAUUAGUUGAGAUUUAUCAAUAAAGUGAAAUUAUAUCAAUAUAAUUGAGUUAGGUAAAUAAUUGAAGCUAUUUUUUCUACCUCAAACAAGAAUAAAGAAAUAUAAAUCUUAAUUUCAAACAAGUCUCUCUCUUUACCCAGCUCAACCCCUUCCAUGCAAGAUAACCACGUCUCAAACCAAUAAAAAAAAAAAAAAAAAAACCAUGACAAUGUAACGUAAAAUCAGAACUUAGGAAGGAAGAUAUGAACAUGCAUAUAAUUAAUAAGCUUUUAAAAACAUUCCCACAUGGUUGUCUUCACUAGACAAAAUUCAUUAUUCUUUCAAAUCUUUUAAAUGAUCUCCUACCCUUUAUUACCCAAUUAAAUAAAAUUUUAAAAACAAAACAAAAAAUAGGGAAAUACCAGCCCUGUUCAUCUUUUUGGGAAUCUUGGCUUUGAAACUUACCAAAAACUACAAACAAAAAUGAUAAUGAAGCCACUUGAAAUUGGGUGCCUUACUGAUUUUCUUUAUUGCAAAGACAUGAUUUUAAAUACUGUCUCAAGUGUUCAAAUUAAAUGGAUAUGAACAAACCCAUUUAAGAUUGUUUAAUUCAAUCAAAAUUAGAUAUGAGAGAGAAAGAAAGAGAUUAUAGUCUGAAAAUGGUUUUCCAUUAGAUAGCCUGAUACAUCAUUUUGAAGUACAGAAAAUCCAUAUCCUAAACCCCCAAAAAAGAUGUGAAAAAAGAAAUUAAAAAAAAAAAAAA